CCAUUCUCACUCCAAAGGCGUCAAAAACCGAAGCAUGGUCAAGCGCCCCUAGCGUCACUUUUAUGACGCCAAAUGUGCCUCUCGGCGUCGACUAUCGAAGCACUACGACCUUCAUUGCUUUCAGUGGGAAACUUUUGGCGUCAGAAUUCGACACGAGGACAUGAGAUGUUUAUCGCUAUGAAAUCACGUUCAAGAAGUCUCAUUCAGCACACAUCGCGCGAUACUUGCUAUCAGUUCCACAGUUUGGCUGAAAAGACGUAAAGGCAGUCAGCCCAGUGGUGUUUCUGGAGAGGGAUUCCUUCAGAAAUGGAGAAGACAGAAAGCUGCGGAGGCAGAUAUUUGCAGCAUGUUCGAGUGAGCAUGAUGACCACGAGUGUGUGUCGAACUUUUCAUGACCUGAUGACUGUGUUUCCCAAUCCUGAUCCUGGAGAACCCCAGCACUGCACGGUUUUGGCGUCUCUCUUAUCUGCCUUGGAGUCUUCACUGAUGAGCUGAUGAGUUGAAUCAGGUCUAAAAUAUCGAGCUCAACAGCUAUUUUAAGAGCCAACCCUCACAAACCUUCCUAAAACCUAAAAGAGCUAUUACUGAGUCUCAGCGAAUCUUGCCAUGAUCAGCUCUUCCCAGAAGAGAAGGAAGACCAAGGAAAUGAUUUGCUCAGGAUGAGGAAUGAAGACGGCCAUCUUGAGCUCAAACAAACAGAAGUCCUCUGAUGAUCUCAUCAGCCAAAUGAGGGGUUUUGACCAAGUGAUGCUCUUGAAAGGAGUGGAUGUGGUAAAUUGUCUUCAGAGAAAAAGCUUCUCAAAAGGUCUUAAAACAGCUUGAAGAAUGGUCUGGGAUCUUAGGACUGAGAGAUCCUCUGGCUGAGGACAAGCUACACCACAUCAGUGCUGGAUAUCAGCCACAAACUGUUUCCAGACACGAGAGAAGAAGAACACGAUGGGGAGAUGAAACCAGUUUAGAUGUGAUGAUGGGAAUCAUUAUUUUCUGGAACAGUAUCACAUGUCUUAUAUGUAUCACAUGAUCUGUAUCACAGUUGACUGGAUGGGACUGUGUGACUUUUAAGGACAUUUCAUCACUUAUCUGUGUGAACUGAUUUAUAUAUGAGGUUAAUGUAUCUUUGAUGAUAAUUAUUUUCAUUGAAUCUUAUUUGUCUUGAUGCUACUUUAUCAACUUUAUAGUCUAUGCUUCAAUAAAAUGAAAAUGGUGAAUAUUGUGUUCUGAAGAUUCUUGGUAAAUACAUCAUUUUACUAGGUAGGCUCAUAUGUGUUUAUUUUAGACUUGGAAAAACGACAUAUUAAUUAUUGGGAUUAUUUUUUUAUUUAAGACAUAAACAUUUUU